ACAGGCCAUCACGAGACACUCCCACUGCGUAGAUCGCAAAGUAGACCGAGUAACUUGAGUUGUAUCAGACCAGACUGUGGAGUCUCUGAACAUGCAAAACAUGGAAGUUAUGCAACAUGGCCUCCAGAGUUUUUUAAUACUUCUGCUCUGGGGGAAAGGUCUGACCAACGGGAGCGACGUGACCCAAACCCCUCUGCUGUGGAAGGACAAGGGCCAGUCGGCCACGAUGAACUGCAGUCACACGAAAGAUGCGAGUUACUUCCAGAUGUACUGGUUCAGACAGCUGCCCGGGGAGGCGAUGAAGCAAAUAGUUUACACAUCGACAAGUCCUCCACAUCAAUACGAAAGCGGCUUCAGUGAGGACAAAUAUCCGGCGCAGAAGAGCGACGCUCAGUCUGGAUCUUUGACGGUGGAGAAGCUGCAGCCUGGCGACAGUGGGGUGUAUUUUUGUGCCGUUAGUAAACACAUCGAUACAAGUGAUUCAGGCGGCUGCACAAAAACCCUCUGUUGCUAUUAGAGCUAAUCGAGAAAAGUGAUGUUGUUAUUUAACUAUAGGGGGCGCUCUAGACCUGUAGACUACAAAAUAAAAUGUGAUGGCAGGGAACUGA